rnacentral:rRNA from 1 species
GAUGAACGCUGGCGGCGUGCCUAAUACAUGCAAGUCGAGCGAACGGACGAGAAGCUUGCUUCUCUGAUGUUAGCGGCGGACGGGUGAGUAACACGUGGAUAACCUACCUAUAAGACUGGGAUAACUUCGGGAAACCGUAGCUAAUACCGGAUAAUAUUUUGAACCGCAUGGUUCAAAAGUGAAAGACGGUCUUGCUGUCACUUAUAGAUGGAUCCGCGCUGCAUUAGCUAGUUGGUAAGGUAACGGCUUACCAAGGCAACGAUGCAUAGCCGACCUGAGAGGGUGAUCGGCCACACUGGAACUGAGACACGGUCCAGACUCCUACGGGAGGCAGCAGUAGGGAAUCUUCCGCAAAGGGCGAAAGCCUGACGGAGCAACGCCGCGUGAGUGAUGAAGGUCUUCGGAUCGUAAAACUCUGUUAUUAGGGAAGAACAUAUGUGUAAGUAACUGUGCACAUCUUGACGGUACCUAAUCAGAAAGCCGCGGCUAACUACGUG